CAGAAAUAGUCGCAGAAAUAACAACAGACAUAAUAACAGAAAUAGCAGACAUAGCAGCAGCAGCAGUUAUUCUCUUCUCUUUUUGUUUUUGUUUUUUUCUUCUUCUUGAUCCAGUGAAUAUUUUUCAACAA
rnacentral:ribozyme from 1 species